rnacentral:rRNA from 1 species
UACGGGGGGGAGACAGCUGUUGUGAUUUAUUGGGCGUAAAGCGCGUGUAGGCGGCCAGAAAAGUCCGCUGUGAAAACUCGAGGCUCAACUUCGAGCUGUCGGUGGAAACUUUCUGGCUAGAGUCCGGAAGAGGAGAAUGGAAUUCCUGGUGUAGCGGUGAAAUGCGCAGAUAUCAGGAAGAACACCCGUGGCGAAGGCGGUUCUCUGGGACGGUACUGACGCUGAGACGCGAAAGCGUGGGGAGCGAACAGG